AUAGAGGCGUAUACAUGGACAAACCCUCUGCUGUGUACAUAUCAUCAUGGGAAAACUCUGGAUUGAGCAAUAUGGAACUGUGGAAAUAGUCAACCACAAAUGUAUCAUUUCACCAUGACUCUGAAUGAGCUGGAGCCUGGCAUGGUGAGGCUAUUGGGUGUAAGAAUGCCAUCUAAGACCUGACGUCAGAGCCAUGGAGAAUGGAGACCUGGACGCAGCAAGUGUAGAAAAGGACAGGCUAGAGGAAAAACAGUGAGCUGCACGCAAAGAACCUUCCAAGGAUGGAGAAGAGUGGUCAACCAGGUGGUUUCGGUUGGGAACAAACCCCCAGGACUGGCUGUACACGGGGGAUACUUUGAUAGGAAUUACACUGUCCCAACAUUUACUGAUUGGUUAGGAGGGACUAAAGGGACUAGAAGGGUUUCCAUUUACUACCCAUAGCGGAUGUAGGCCUCAUUAUCCUGUUCAUUCUCAGUAUUACAAUGUGAGGCAGCUGAGGACACAAUUACUACUGUUUUCCAAACUUAGCCAAACCUCUCCCCCAAUAGAAUCUCUGAAAUCAAGAAAUUAUGUGACUAAAAUUAUUUAUUUUCAUUUUGCAAGUGAAAAAGGGAACAUUUGAGCAACCUGAAUGUGAAAGAUAGAAAAUCGAGGCUAAGACAGUUAGUUACAUGAGGGAAGCAGAAUGUUCUGAUUUUUAUGUUAGUUUUCACAGGUGUCAGUCUUCCUAAAUGGCCUGGCUAAUUUAACUGAAAGAAUCCCACUCAUCUCUGAUCGUGUUAUUUAUUGUACCCAUGGUUUUAUAAAACUAGGGGUUAGUAAGAUCAGUGGUUAAAAACAAAUGGCAAGAGUUGUGGAACAGUGAGGGAAAGGGAAGACACCUGUAUAAGAUCCAGGAAGAGGUGGGGGCAGGGAGGUCCUCUGGUCCAGAGAGAAGGGAGGAAAGUUUAAUCACAAGGCUGAGACUGGGACACACAAGGCUCAACAGUUCAUUGAAAUUGGUAGGAAAACAUCUGACUGGGAGGUGUGAUCACUGUCAGGAGGAGAUGGAGAGAGUGGAACAUGUGCUAGUUCUUCGAGAUGAGAAUAACAGGUAGGAUUUAGAUUUUUCCUGUCUCUGGUACACACUCCAGUCCGGUUGGUGGCGGUAAUGGACCUUAAAUUUGGUUGCCCACUGUCAUAUAAAAACCACAGAAGAAGAACAACAACAACAGUCAAAGAUAGAACAAUGAGCCAGAUGUUUCACCGGAUGUAUAAAUCUGAAGCGUUGAUUUGGCAUUUCCACUCACCACCAAAUACAGUGCAUUCGGGAAAGUUUUCAGACCCCUUGACUUUUUCCACAUUUAGUUACGUUACAGCCUUAUUCUAAAAUUGAUUAUUUACAUAAGU